rnacentral:lncRNA from 1 species
AGGGGGGGCCGUGCAGAAACGCCGCCCGUGCCCCCCGGCCUCGUGAGAAGUCAUUUGAAGAGAGAAGGAGGAGGAGGAGGAGGAGGAAGAAAAACAAUAGCCAAAAAAGACUGACUUGCGAUCGCAGAUGUUUUCUACUUAGGAACAGUUCCUUUUUUUUUUUUUUUUUAAUAAAUAAAAAAACAAAAAAGAAGAAUGAGAAAGGAACCGUAGGGAGAAAGGAACCCAUGUCCGGUGAUGGAAGGGGACAGAGCAGCCCUCGGUGGCACCGACGAAGGCCAGCACCGUGCCGUGCCGCCCCCGGUGGGACGUCGGAGCGGAGGACGACCCCCCCGGUCCCCAGUGGGCAGGAGGAGCACGGUGGCUCGGCCAGGACGCAGUGGCACCAGCCCCUCGGCAUCGUCCCCAGGGCAGCGGCGUGGCUGCGGCGUGGCAGAGCCCCCGGCGCUGGGGGUGGCGGCGGGGACGUGGGGACGUCCCUGCAAGGCCAGGGCAGAAGUGCCGAGGUGGGAGCAGGUAGGAGCAGGGCAGGAGAGGGGCUGCGGAGGGCGGGUGCUGCUGCUGCUGCAUCCCAGGAACUGGCACCCUUGGGUGCCUUAAAAAGGAGGGACGGGAGAAGCUGCAUCUCGGGUCCCUCACCCCAAGGAGGGUGCUCCUCAUCCAACCCCAUUUGGUGGUGUUGGAGUGGGAGGGCAUCGACGAUGCAAAGCAAUUUUUUAUGGCUCUUUUUUUUUUCUUUUUUUUUUUUUUUAAUUAAAGUGCUUUUUAAUAUUUUUUUAAAAAGACACCGUGCUUGGAAUCAGGAUCUGUCCCUCCUGUGCCACUCCACGGUACCAGGGACCUGCUCCCUGCCCGUCCCCGGUGCCGGUGGCCAGAGGAGGUGGCGGAGCCGAGCUCACUGGGUCGGAGCCAUAUGGCAAAAUUACGUGGCUCAGGCAGGCACGGGGAAGGUUUGGGGUCACCAAACUCACGUGGGGUCCCUGCAGAGUGCGGCCGGGUUCGUGCGUGGCAGUGGGAGCCCCGGGCUGUGCUUGCGCUUUCAG